AGAGUUUGAUCCUGGCUCAGGAUGAACGCUAGCGACAGGCUUAACACAUGCAAGUCGAGGGGCAGCGAGGGAGUGGCAACACUUCUGUCGGCGACCGGCGCACGGGUGAGUAACGCGUAUGCAACCUGCCCUUCACAGGGGGAUAACCGGGAGAAAUUCCGACUAAUACCGCAUACGUCCUCCGGGGGCAUCCCCGGGGGAUGAAAGAGUUAUCGGUGAAGGAUGGGCAUGCGUGAUAUUAGGUAGUUGGCGGGGCAACGGCCCACCAAGCCCACGAUAUCUAGGGGUUCUGAGAGGAAGGUCCCCCACAUUGGUACUGAGACACGGACCAAACUCCUACGGGAGGCAGCAGUGAGGAAUAUUGGUCAAUGGACGAGAGUCUGAACCAGCCAAGUCGCGUGAGGGAAGACUGCCCUAUGGGUUGUAAACCUCUUUUAUAAGGGAAGAAUAAGUUCUACGUGUAGAAUGAUGCCUGUACCUUAUGAAUAAGCAUCGGCUAACUCCGUGCCAGCAGCCGCGGUAAUACGGAGGAUGCGAGCGUUAUCCGGAUUUAUUGGGUUUAAAGGGAGCGCAGGCUGCGAGGCAAGUCAGCGGUCAAAUGUCGGGGCUCAACCCCGGCCUGCCGUUGAAACUGUUUUGCUAGAGUUCGAGUGAGGUAUGCGGAAUGCGUUGUGUAGCGGUGAAAUGCAUAGAUAUGACGCAGAACUCCGAUUGCGAAGGCAGCAUACCAACUCGCGACUGACGCUGAGGCUCGAAAGCGUGGGUAUCGAACAGGAUUAGAUACCCUGGUAGUCCACGCAGUAAACGAUGAAUACUAACUGUUCGGAGGGCGACCUCUGAGUGGUAAAGCGAAAGCGUUAAGUAUUCCACCUGGGGAGUACGCCGGCAACGGUGAAACUCAAAGGAAUUGACGGGGGCCC
rnacentral:rRNA from 1 species